CCUCCGCCUCGUGGUGGUUCCUUCCUUCGGGUUGGUUCCGUCGCGUGGCGUUGGGACUGUAGCCGCAGUAGGUCAGCGCAGGGGUGACACGGAAUGGGAGCCGGCCGCGGAGGUGGUUUUCCGUGGUCAAGCACGCAGCCAGUCAUGUAGGCAAAUCCGCAUGGCGUGCAUGGCGAGGUGUGAUGAUGGGAGCCUUUUGGGCUCGAUAUCCGGUUGUCCAGGCCGUCGAGAAAAGCCUCGGCGUGAGGGCCAUGGCCGCCCGUACCCCAAACCGACACUGGUGGUCAGGUAGAGAAUACCAAGGCGAUCGAGCGAAUCCUGGUCAAGGAACUCGGCAAAUCACUCCCGUGCCUUCGGUAUAAGGGAGACCCACUGGGGUGAAGGACCUUGCGUCCGGAGCUUUGGUGGGUGGCACAGACCAGGGGGUAGCGACUGUUUACCAAAAACACAGGUGCAUGCGAAGGCGAAAGCCGCUGUAUAUGCACUGACGCCUGCCCGGUGCCGGAAGGUUAAGAGGAUCCGUCAAUCCCUUCGGGGACGAAGCGGUGAAUUCAAGCCCCGGUAAACGGCGGUGGUAACUAUAACCAUCCUAAGGUAGCGAAAUUCCUUGUCGGGUAAGUUCCGACCUGCACGAAUGGCGUAACGACUUCCCCACUGUCUCGACCAGGAGCUCGGCGAAAUUGCAGUACGAGUAAAGAUGCUCGUUAAGCGCAGAAGGACGAAAAGACCCCGGGACCUUUACUAUACCUUGGUAUUGGCGUUAGGCGCGGAUUGUGUAGCAUAGGCGGGAGGCUUUGAAACGGUGGCGCCAGCCAUCGCGGAGCCGCAAGGUGAAAUACCGCUCUGUUCUCGUUUGACGUCUAACCUCGACAAGUCAUCCUUGUCAGGGACAGUGCCUGGCGGGUAGUUCAACUGGGGCGGUUGCCUCCCAAAGAGUAACGGAGGCGCUCAAAGGUCCGCUCAGCCCGGUUGGCAAUCGGGUGUCGAGUGUAAUCGCACAAGCGGGCUUGACUGCGAGGACGACGGUCCGAGCAGGGACGAAAGUCGGAGAUAGUGAUCCGGUGCCGGCGCACGGGCGCGGCAUCGCUCAACGGAUAAAAGGUACCCCGGGGAUAACAGGCUGAUCAUUCCCAAGAGUCCAUAUCGACGGGAUGGUUUGGCACCUCGAUGUCGGCUCGUCGCAUCCUGGGGCUGGAGCAGGUCCCAAGGGUUCGGCUGUUCGCCGAUUAAAGCGGCACGCGAGCUGGGUUCAGAACGUCGUGAGACAGUUUGGUCUCUAUCCUCUGCGCUCGUUGGAAUCCUGAGGAGGCCUGCCCAUAGUACGAGAGGACCUGGGUGGACGAACCUCUGGUAUGCCGGUUGUCGCGCCAGCGGCACGGCCGGUUGGCUACGUUCGGGAGGGAUAACCGCUGAAAGCAUCUAAGCGGGAAGCCUGCUCCAAGAUUAGGAUUCCGUACGGUCUUGAACCGUUGUAGCCCGCAUGUUGAACACGUGUUUGAUAGGCCGGAGGUGGAAGCCCCGUGAGGGGUGGAGCCGACCGGUACUAACGGGCGACGGCGACAUAA
rnacentral:rRNA from 1 species